GACGAACGCUGGCGGCGUGCCUAAUACAUGCAAGUUGAGCGCUGAAGGUUGGUACUUGUACCAACUGGAUGAGCAGCGAACGGGUGAGUAACGCGUGGGGAAUCUGCCUUUGAGCGGGGGACAACAUUUGGAAACGAAUGCUAAUACCGCAUAAAAACUUUAAACACAAGUUUUAAGUUUGAAAGAUGCAAUUGCAUCACUCAAAGAUGAUCCCGCGUUGUAUUAGCUAGUUGGUGAGGUAAAGGCUCACCAAGGCGAUGAUACAUAGCCGACCUGAGAGGGUGAUCGGCCACAUUGGGACUGAGACACGGCCCAAACUCCUACGAGAGGCAGCAGUAGGGAAUCUUCGGCAAUGAACGAAAGUCUGACCGAGCAACGCCGCGUGAGUGAAGAAGGUUUUCGGAUCGUAAAACUCUGUUGGUAGAGAAGAACGUUGGUGAGAGUGGAAAGCUCAUCAAGUGACGGUAACUACCCAGAAAGGGACGGCUAACUACGUGC
rnacentral:rRNA from 1 species